UACAGAGGUCUCAAGCGUUGUUCGGAUUCAUUGGGCGUAAAGGGUGCGUAGGUGGCGGGGUAAGUCAGGUGUGAAAUUUCGGAGCUUAACUCCGAAACUGCAUUCGAUACUGCCGUGCUUGAGGACUGGAGAGGAGACUGGAAUUUACGGUGUAGCGGUGAAAUGCGUAGAUAUCGUAAGGAAGACCAGUGGCGAAGGCGGGUCUCUGGACAGUUCCUGACGCUGAGGCACGAAGGUCAGGGGAGCAAACGGG
rnacentral:rRNA from 1 species